GCACUGCUGAGGAGUGCCAUAAUAGAACGAAACGGCCGUUCAGUGC
rfam:Schistosoma curassoni strain Dakar, Senegal genome assembly, scaffold: SCTD_scaffold0016514